GGCUCGGUGGCGGAACUGGUAGACGCGCCGGAUUCAAAAUCCGGUUGGGGUGACUCAGUGGGGGUUCGAUUCCCCCCCGAGCUACAA
rnacentral:tRNA from 1 species